rnacentral:rRNA from 1 species
GGACUACAGGGGUAUCUAAUCCUGUUUGCUCCCCACGCUUUCGCGCAUCAGCGUCAGUAUCGGGCCAGUGAGUCGCCUUCGCCACUGGUGUUCCGCCGAAUAUCUACGAAUUUCACCUCUACACUCGGCAUUCCACUCACCUCUCCCGAACUCAAGAUAUCCAGUAUUGAAGGCUAUUCCGAGGUUGAGCCCCGGGCUUUCACCCCCAACUUAGAUAUCCGCCUACGCGCCCUUUACGCCCAGUAAUUCCGAGCAACGCUAGCCCCCUUCGUAUUACCGCGGCUGCUGGCAC